rnacentral:lncRNA from 1 species
CGAGCUCAGACUACAAUCGCCAUGGACGCGCUCGUUGUUCGCCGUUUCAUCGUUGUUCGAGGACUAUUGCCGAACUCUGACCUCUGAGUUGAGAAGAAGCAGGAGCCGCCCUGCUGAUCUCGCAGCGCCGCCAAAAGCCAAAAGCCACCGUCGUGGUCGAACUCCGCCGCUGCAACCGUUUUCUCAAGCUCCAUAGGAAGGUGAGCAAUCUGUAGACAUUCCUUGCCCCCCUUCUUUUGGUGUAUUUCAUGAACGCGAGCUCGUCGGCUUAUGCCAUUAAUCUGACCCACAGCCAUGAGCACAUAGCUCCAAUCACAUGCAUAAAACGCUACUACGUCGAAGCACUCAGAAGCACCGGCCC